rnacentral:lncRNA from 1 species
CACUGACACGCGCCUAACAUUCUUUCAUUGAUAAUCCGUCGAGCGAGCAGCGCGUCAAUAGCGCACUAAUCAAACGAAAAUGAUGUAAAACGGACGCACACGUACCAGUCUAUGGCUUCAAUGCUGAGCUUUGCUCAGUGUUGCUGAGGCUGAUCUUUACUGUGAAUCAGCUGUGGAUUGGGGUUGACUGUCAGAUUUCCAUUUUUGAGGCUCCUCUGGGCUAUUUGGAUCGGGAAGCCUUGGAGGGGACAAUACCAGGCUUUCAGGGGGGAACCAAACUGAGUUUGGGAUAUAUUGACUUUGAAUUUUCA